rnacentral:rRNA from 1 species
AGCGAACGCUGGCGGCAGGCCUAACACAUGCCAGUCGAACGAACCUUUCGGGGUUAGUGGCGGACGGGUGAGUAACACGUGGGAACGUGCCUUUAGGUUCGGAAUAACUCAGGGAAACUUGUGCUAAUACCGAAUGUGCCCUUCGGGGGAAAGAUUAAUCGCCUUUAGAGCGGCCCGCGUCUGAUUAGCUAGUUGGUUGAGGUAAUGGCUCACCAAGGCGACGAUCAGUAGCUGGUCUGAGAGGAUGAUCAGCCACAUUGGGACUGAGACACGGCCCAAACUCCUACGGGAGGCAGCAGUGGGGAAUCUUGCGAAAUGGGCGAAAGGCUGACGCAGCCAUGCCGCGUGAAUGAUGAAGGUCUUAGGAUUGUAAAAUUCUUUCACCGGGGACGAUAAUGACGGUACCCGGAGAAGAAGCCCCGGCUAACUUCGUG